rnacentral:rRNA from 1 species
AGUGAACGUUGGCGGCGUGGAUUAGGCAUGCAAGUCGAGCGAUCGUAGCAAUACGGGAGCGGCAAACGGGGUAGGAAUACAUCGGAACGUACCUUUUGGUUGAGAAUAGCGUUGGGAAACUGACGGUAAUACUCAAUAAAGUCGAGAGACCAAAGGUUUACUGCCGGAAGAGCGGCCGAUGCGAUAUUAGGUAGUUGGUGGGGUAAUGGCCUACCAAGCCUGAGAUGUCUAGGGGGUGUGAGAGCAUGGCCCCCACCACUGGGACUGAGAUACUGCCCAGACACCUACGGGUGGCUGCAGUCGAGGAUCUUCGUCAAUGGGCGAAAGCCUGAACGAGCGACGCCGCGUGCGGGAUGAAGGCCCUUGGGUUGUAAACCGCUGUCGAGGGGGAUGAACCGUAAGGUUGACAGAGCCCAGAGGAAGCACGGGCUAAGUUCGUG